rnacentral:rRNA from 1 species
UACAGAGGAGCCAAGCGUUGUCCGGAUUGACUGGGCGUAAAGCGUGCGCAGGCGGUGAUGUAAGACAGGUGUGAAAUCCCCAGGCUUAACCUGGGAACUGCAUCCGAUACUGGAUGGCUUGAAUCCGGGAGAGGGAUGCAGAAUUCCAGGUGUAGCGGUGAAAUGCGUAGAUAUCUGGAGGAAUACCGGUGGCGAAGGCGGCAUCCUGGACCGGCAUUGACGCUGAGUGAGCGAAAGCCAGGGGAGCAAACGGG